rnacentral:rRNA from 1 species
UACGUAGGGUGCAAGCGUUGUCCGGAAUUAUUGGGCGUAAAGAGCUCGUAGGCGGUUUGUCGCGUCUGCUGUGAAAACUCGGGGCUUAACUCCGGGCCUGCAGUGGGUACGGGCAGACUAGAGUGCGGUAGGGGAGACUGGAAUUCCUGGUGUAGCGGUGAAAUGCGCAGAUAUCAGGAGGAACACCGAUGGCGAAGGCAGGUCUCUGGGCAUUAACUGACGCUGAGGCACGAAGGCCAGGGGAGCAAACGGG